UGCCGAAACCAAACUCUUCCAGUCAGGUCAGGACUGGUUAGAGAAAUGGACGACGCAGAAAUGGAAGUUGACCAUGAUGGGACAACUAUCAAAGAGGUGGAAACGGAUUGGAAAAAUCAGGAUGAUCUUUCACUCCAUUCCUUUGAUGAGGCAGAUUUUCUGGUCAGUAAUUUAUGCAUAGCGAUAGGUGAAAGGGAUGACACAGAAUUGGUAAGAUCCUUAUUUUACAUAAACCUAAAUGGUUAAUCAUCAAACAUGGUCAAAUACCUCUGAGUGACUGUGUCUCUAAUGUAGGAAGUGGAACGUGGUGGGAACACUAUCCGUCAAACCGUAGAUUACGAUGACCUCUCUCUACGUUCAGUCAGCGAGAGAGAUUUUCUGUCUGAUGAGGACCGUGACCGCCAGCAGAAUCCACUUCUGGAUAAACGCCUGAAUCAUGUUAUGGAUUACGAAGCCCAGGGCCUUCUUCCUUCUUCUGUGAGAGCUGUGACCGAGCCUUGCGUCUCUAAUGACAUGCACCCCCCCAUGCUACAAGAUCAGAAGAGGCGCG